UAUCAUUUGAAAUUUAACAUGAAGAUCUUAAGUUGGGAAAACAAAAGACUGAUAUGAGUAAUUGCUACAGCGGAAGUCUAACAUAUGAAUUUUAACUCUAGCCUCAGCUCCGUCCCGUCAGCACCAGCCAGCCAACCUGAAAACAUUUGAAAGUAUUUUUGGGCUAAGUACUAAUGUACUUAGUGGGCAUGCAUUUUCAUAAACAUUUCAUAUUUUCGUAAGAGCAGUUUAUCCAAUUAUACUUGACAUGACUUAGAAGGUUUUAAAAUGAAAUAAGUACUUCUAAGCAUGUUAAAACAUUUUUCAUUUGUGCGCACAUGUCACACUCCCUUUCCGUUACUCGCUGUGAUCCCGGACCUUUUAGCCACCGACGGAUCCAUUACUCCCGCUUUACUUGAACUGAGGGCGUAACCCAGUCAAGUUCCCAUUUGGGACCCAAUGCUCCGGAACACAUCCCGUCGAGCACCCUUAUAACGCCUCAUACAUGAUUAGUGCCCGAUGGAGAUCAACCCACCGAGUCAGCUAAUAGGUGUACACAAUUCUCAAAUAACGUGUUAGGUCAAGAGAGAACCUCGAUCGAUUCAUUGUUGCGAGCCUUAAACAGAGCAGAGUGCACAAAAUAUUUUAUUGGAUAAACAGUUUUCAUUACAUUAAAUAAACAAUUUGCAUUUCAUUGAAACAUUUAGAGCUUAAUAACUCAAUCAUACUUUGUACAUUUGGAAAGUAAGCCCACCUGGUUAGGCAAAGCCUGAAGAUCAUAAUCACUUAUAAACCUGUCUUGGGAAAGCAACGCUAAUCCCCCUGGUCACAAAGCCUACAAGAAAUUCUAUUCUUAAUAGGUCUCGUGAAGCUAAUCUUAAUUCAUGGUGAAGUGCUUAACAUUCUAUGAUUCACUUAGCCGGGUUUUCAAAAUUUAAUGAAUAAAUAAUUGAAAACAUUUAUCUUGAGUUAAGAACACCAACAAUAUUCUUACUCGACUUUCUUUAAUAAUUGGAAUUAUAAUUAAAACCAAUUAAAUCAUAAAUACUUUUAUUGCAAAUAAAAAUGCAAUUUCAUGUCAUGCUUUGCAUAUAAUAAGUGAUUACUUAAAAUAUGCACAUAAUAAUAAUUUAAUAUUAUUAUGCAAAUCAUCUUUAAAAUAAUUAAUCAAACUAAUUAUAGUCAAAUUAAUUAAAAUAUGGAUACCCAAAAUAAUUAAAUGUAAGGCUAUUCUUAAAAUUUAAAGAAGAAAAUAAAACCCAAACUAUUAAAUUAAAAGUAACUAUUCUAAAACAAUACAGCCCAAUUGGAUAAAAGACAUAGGCUCGGAUUUAAAUAAAAGGGGCAGUCCAGACAUAGUUAAAAAAAUGCAGCCCAUACUUAAAUAAAAUCAAUCAGCCCAAAGAAUUAAAUUAAAUGGCCCAACUAUUAAUUAAAACUGAGUCCAUGAUGAAAUAAAAUUAGCCCAAUUUCAAAUUAAAAAUCGGCCCAUAACUAAUUAAAUAAACUGAGCCCAAUACUGACUUGGCCCAAGUAAAUAAAAGAAAUCGGCCCAAUAGCAGCCCUAGCCCAAAUUUCAAAUCCAACCCCAAAGCCCAACCCUCACCCUAGCCCAACACCUAGCCUUCUUCCCCCCAUCAGCCGCAACACACGCACAAACACUCACAUUUCAGUCACUCAUCCCCUCCCCCUUCACUGCUCGUCUCCCUCUCUCUCUCGGACUCACGCCCAACCCCUCGGUCUCCCCCCUGCCGCCGCCAAGCCGCGGCCGCCGCCCCCUUCUCCAGCGACAACAGCUGCCGGCAAUCUCCCAUCUCCCUCUGAACUCUCUCAAACCUCGGUCACCACCGCCCACCUUCAGUCGAAUCACUCUCUCGACUGCUCUUCCGUCAACGAGCAGCAGCAAAAGCCACUCUUUCUUCUCCGACUCCGGCGAGUAGCAGCGAUAAGCUGCUGCUCCACCGUCCGCUCAGACCCUCUCACUGUACACUCCUCUCCGCCCGUCCUUGGCUGGGCAGCAGCGGCACCACCGCCGCCAAGCCCAGCCUCCCUCAUCUCUCUCCGACGACGACGCAGCUACAGGCUGCGCCUCCGCCUCCGGUCUCGCCCUCUGUCAGACGACAUCAACGACCACCGUCUCACCUCUCUUCCAUCGUCCUCGACCGAGCAGCAGCGGCAGGGCUGCCACUGCCACGGCCCCUCCACCGACUCGACUCCCACAUCUCAACAUGACACAUAUACGCACUAUCCAAGACUCGAUACAGCAAGUUCGAAAUCAAAGGAAAACAAAGCCUCAAGACUCGACUUUUAUUCAUCUUCAAAUACAUUGAUGCUUUCAAUAUAAAUAUGCACAGGUUAUAUCAUAUAUGUAUAUUCGUAAUAAAGUUCAUUCAUUUUUUUAAAAAAUAAACUCUUAGUAUACAUAUGUAUAUUCAUAUAAAUGCUUGUUAUAAUAAAGGUCAGUGAACAUAUAUAUGCAUAUGAUUCUUUGUUUUGUGAAGUUUGAAAUUUUUAGAAUGUGAUACUCAAGAAUGGGUUUGUUUGAAUUUGUGUGGCAGCUGAAAUUGAUUCACAUAUCGUAUAUUCAUUGAGGUGGAGAGUUUGUGUUGUAAGAAAUAAAUUAUGAAAUUAUGAUUGCAGUUCUUACCUCUGCACUUGUUCGUUGGGUUUCCUUUUGAAAGUGAAAUAUGGCAAAUUGUGUGGGAGAUUGAGUAAAAGUGGAAGGGGAUGGGUGAAGUAUAUCAGUGG
rnacentral:lncRNA from 1 species